rnacentral:rRNA from 1 species
CCUACGGGUGGCUGCAGUGGGGAAUAUUGGACAAUGGGCGCAAGCCUGAUCCAGCAAUGCCGCGUGUGUGAAGAAGGCCUGCGGGUUGUAAAGCACUUUUGUCCGGAAAGAAAUUGCCCGGGAUAAUACCCUGGGUGGAUGACGGUACCGGAAGAAUAAGCACCGGCUAACUUCGUGCCAGCAGCCGCGGUAAUACGAAGGGUGCAAGCGUUAAUCGGACUUACUGGGCGUAAAGGGUGCGUAGGUGGUCUGUUAAGUCGGAUGUGAAAGCCCCG